GGGCUCAUAGCUCAGUUGGCUAGAGCACCGCGUUUACACCGCGGGUGUCGUAGGUUCGAGUCCUACUGAGCCCA
rnacentral:tRNA from 1 species